rnacentral:tRNA from 1 species
UGGUAGAAGAAUUCAAUUCGUAAAUAAAUUUACAAUUUAUCGCCUGUAGCUCAGCCAUUCUACC